UGAGACACGGUCCAGACACCUACGGGUGGCAGCAGUCGAGAAUUUUUCACAAUGGGCGAAAGCCUGAUGGAGCGACGCCGCGUGGGGGAUGAAGGGCUUCGGCUCGUAAACCCCUGUCAUUCGCGAACAAAGGUGCCGGCCUAAUAUGCCGUCGUCUGAUAGUAGCGGAAGAGGAAGGGACGGCUAACUCUGUGCCAGCAGCCGCGGUAAUACAGAGGUCCCAAGCGUUGUUCGGAUUCACUGGGCGUAAAGGGUGCGUAGGUGGCAGGCUAAGUCGGGUGUGAAAUCUCCGGGCUCAACCCGGAGGGUGCGCUCGAAACUGGUUUGCUAGAGGAUGGGAGGGGAGACUGGAAUUCUCGGUGUAGCAGUGAAAUGCGUAGAUAUCGAGAGGAACACCGGUGGCGAAGGCGAGUCUCUGGACCAUUCCUGACACUGAGGCACGAAAGCCGGGGGAGCAAACAGGAUUAGAUACCCUGGUAGUCCCGGCCCUAAACGGUGCGCAUUGCUGUGGGCGGAAUCGACCCGCCCGU
rnacentral:rRNA from 1 species